GACGAACGCUGGCGGCGUGCUUAACACAUGCAAGUCGAACGGAGAGGCCCUGCUUUUGUGGGGUGCUCGAGUGGCGAACGGGUGUGUAACACGUGAGUAACCUGCCCUUGACUUUGGGAUAACUUCAGGAAACUGGGGCUAAUACCGGAUAGGAGCUCCUGCUGCAUGGUGGGGGUUGGAAAGUUUCGGCGGUUGGGGAUGGACUCGCGGCUUAUCAGCUUGUUGGUGGGGUAGUGGCUUACCAAGGCUUUGACGGGUAGCCGGCCUGAGAGGGUGACCGGCCACAUUGGGACUGAGAUAGGGCCCAGAGUCCUACGGGAGGCAGCAGUGGGGAAUAUUGCACAAUGGGCGGAAGCCUGAUGCAGCAACGCCGCGUGCGGGAUGACGGCCUUCGGGUUGUAAACCGCUUUCGCCUGUGACGAAGCGUGAGUGACGGUAAUGGGUAAAGAAGCACCGGCUAACUACGUG
rnacentral:rRNA from 1 species